GACGAACGCUGGCGGCGUGCCUAACACAUGCAAGUCGAGCGAAUGAAGUUCCUUCGGCAAUGGAUUUAGCGGCGGACGGGUGAGUAACACGUGGGCCACCUGCCUCAUAGAGGGGAAUAGCCUUCCGAAAGGGAGAUUAAUACCGCAUAAGAUUGUAGUACCGCAUGGUACAGCAAUUAAAGGAGCAAUCCGCUAUGAAAUGGGCCUGCGGGGCAUUAGCUAGUUGGUGAGGUAACGGCUCAGCAAGGCGACGAUACGUAGCCGACCUGAGAGGGUGAGCGGACACAUAGGGACUGAGACACGGCCAAGAUUCCUGCGGGAUGCAGCAGUGGGGAAUAUUGGACAAUGGGGUAAACCCUGAUGCGGCAACGCCGCGUGAGUGAUGACGGCCGUCGGGUUGUAAAGCUCUGUCUUCAGGGACGAUAAUGACGGUACCUGAGGAGGAAGCCACGGCUAACUACGUGCCAGCAGCCGCCGUAACAC
rnacentral:rRNA from 1 species